GUGACCCAUUAUGGGAUGUUGUUAGAUGUUUAUGUAACGUAGUGAGAAUGACCAUCUAGAUUUUAAUUAGAUCGAGUUUGUUAAUGCUAUUUCUUGAAAAAUGCUGAAGGGAUGUUUCUCACGUUUGAUACACAUAGGGAAAACAAAAUGGUUGACCAGCAGACAUAUUGAAUUUUGACAGUUAAAAAUUGUUAUUGAUACACAUCAGAAAGUUUUUCUCAAAUCUUUCUUUGACUUCAUACAUAGGUUCCCAAUGUUAUCAAAUGAUUUAGAGGAAGACGGGAAAGAAGGUAAAAGAAGAGAAAAGAUCAGUCUUACAUAGAACUGAUAAGACCUGUCAAUGGUGGCCGCCAAAUACCACAUUAUGUGUUUUUGUUUUACUAUACAUCAUAUAUUACUCUACACCCUAUGUUAAACAGUACUAUAUUUAUCUGGCUUUUAGCCUGGUAGUCGUUCCAUAGCCACCCAUGCAUGUCCAUUGCAAUACAAAUGUCCAUGUAAACACUAUAGAUAAACAUACACAGUACAAUAUAAGAGAAUAUUUUGUAAGUAUUAUUAGCCAUACUUUUGAGAUCUCAAAUAUUAUUUGCUGGCAACCUGUGUUCAUUACAGUUUUUUGUCUUUUCAAUAAUUUCUGCGGCAUGUAAUUUUCCAGUAAAAAUUCAUACACUUGAAUGUGUCAUGUCUUCAAGGAUAUUUCUAUCAUGCAAAUAAGAUAAGCUAUUCCGACAUAAAAUUUGAUUAUAUGACAAGAAAUCUUGGAAUGGUUUAAUGUUUUUAAGUUAUUUUCCAGUGACAGGAUCUAAUAUAUAUGUAUAUUUCUGUGAUGAUAAUUAUUAUGUGAUGUCAGAAAAAUGUCAGAUUUAUAAUCAUAUUUUUUUAGUUCAUGAUUUUCCUGGUGUUAAUCAAGAUGAUAUUUAAGAAGGAAGUUGGUAGUGAAACCACACUUUCUGAGCAAUCAUUCCAAGUUUGAUUGUUGUUUUCUGCCAAACAGUGUUAGUAACUAGAAAAAACAGAAUAUUCUCCCUGUGGUUACUGUCCAUGGCUAAACAGAGGCUUAAUUGGCACAUAUUCACAAACUCCACAGUCAGUUUGUGUAUUAUAUGUAAAUAAUAUUAGUCAAGAAUUUUAACAUUUUAUUUGUAUUUCUUUUUGUUUGAAUUUAAAAGUAGCUAAUGUCAGUAAAACUUGAAUUUAAAUUGAUAGUUUCCCACCGAUUAAAUUCACUACCUAAUAGGGACUCUACUCAGAGUAAUUAAAUUUUUUACCUUAUAGGGAUUCCACUACAAUUUUGCUCCGGUUAUUUAUCUAUAAUAAUGUAUUUUGUAUGUCACCUUGUUAUGUUUUUACUGGGUAUUAUAAAAGUACCUGUUACAGUGAUAUUGUUGUUGUUGACUUGUUAGAUACUAGGUUACCAAUCCAUGGUAAUUUUAAAUGGAUGUUAGCUCUGUAAUUAAAUUACUCUGUAUACAUGGAGUCAUAGUUAAUUAAACAUCAAAUAUGAAUUGGAUUAUUGGAGUAGGACUUACAUUCUAUUUGGUGUUCUGCCUGUGUGAAUUUUUAUGAUAAACUAAUAUUGUUGCACAACAGAUUUUUACCGUUUUCUUAUUGGUGGAGACCUCUUCAUCAGGUCUUGUCAAAAAGCAAUUUUAACCUGCAAUUGGUGAAUUCCUUCGAGAGGUUAGUAAUGCAAAUUGUUAACCUUGACUCUAAAUAGUUACAAGGAAUUUUUUAUGCUUCAGAAUUUUUGACCAAUCACAAAAGAGAUUAGUCAGUCAUCGGGCUAUAACCUUUAUAAUGAAAACAGGCGAAAGCACUGCUGGGCUUGGUAAGAAACGUUCUGGAUGUAUUUCUACACCUAUCUACAAACAAUUGGGGUUAACUUACACAUAGGAUGGCAUCAAAACUGCCAAAGAAACACAGGCAAAGAUAUUCCAGAAUCAUUUUGCAGGAAAAGGCCAUGACUUUAACUUUGAACAUCAAGCUGACAUUGACCUUUCAGUGAAUCACUUGUACUAACCUCAGGUAGUCAUUUUGAUACUAACAGUAAAUGGAAAGCUUUAAUUUUUCAUUUUUUCUUUAUAAUACAAAAACAUUUUGAUAUUUAGGUUGUUUUUGUUUUAUUAGAAUUUCUUCAACGACUGUUCAAGACUGUUAAAUUCAUAAAUUACAUUCUUCUAUACAACUUGUAUAGUAAGAAUCAUUUCAUAGGUACAUAUUGACUUUGUUAACAAUUCCUUGUGUUAUUAGACCUUAACAGGAUGGAUAAUUGUAUAUUAUGAAGCACAAACUGCACAAAUAGUGAUGUGAGCACAUAGAAGAUUAUUUAUACUGUUAACAUUUUGUCAGACAAAUGGCAAGUUCUGUCAACAUUUUGUCAGACAAAUGGCAAGUUCUGUCAACAUUUUGUCAGACAAAAGACAAUUAAGUUCUAUCAACAUUUUGUCAAGAAAAAUGGUCAGAAAAACAUAUACUUUGUUUUAAUGUAUAAAUACUGGUCUGCUCAUUGAAUUGGAAGCCAGGUUCAGGUUUGUACAUGUAUAGACUUGUACAUGUAUAGAUGACUUGUACAUGUAUAGACUUGUACAUGUAUAGAUGACUUGUACAUGUAUAGAUGACUUGUACAUGUAUAGAUGACUCGUACAUGUAUAGAUGACUUGUACAUGUAUAGAUGACUUGUACAUGUAUAGAUGACUUGUACAUGUAUAGAUGACUCGUACAUGUAUAGAUGACUUGUACAUGUAUAGAUGAAUUGUGAUAAUUUCGUUGUAAUUAGUGUCGGAUAUAUUUCCACAACGAUAGUGAAAGUGUUUAUAUCAUCUAAAACCUAUCAUGUAAAAUGUUGCCUGGUUUUGUUUUGUAAACUUUUAACUUUAUCUUUUACUUUGUUCACUUUGAAUUAUUUCUUCAAUGAUAAUUAAGAGUCAGGCGAGAUGCUUGGUCACAAUGGUUCUGUUGUUUGUUGCAGAUUUCCGAAUUUCACAGAAUAUUUCACAAUUUAUUUAGAAAUUCAUAAAUGAUUAGGUGGUUCUAUAGUAAAUACCCUGGGAGUCGUUAACCACAAUAAUGAAGUUGUAAUACAGUAUUUGGGUUGACAUUAUACUGUGCAAGGAAUACUUCUGCCAAUUUCUUUUAUUCCAGAUUGUCUGUCAUGAUGACAAAGACAUGAUUCAUUGUCGCAAAUGAAGUCACUUUUUGCAUUGUUUUAACUUGUCUACACACUGUGAAUAGAAAUUGUUAACACCAGAAGGAAAAACAAUAAAAAGUAUUUUUUUA